ensembl:lncRNA
GGACAGGUCCUGUUGUCCCUGUUACAGGUCCUGUUUGUCUUAAGGACAGAUUCUGUUUGUCUUAAGGACAGGUCCUGUUUGUCCCUGUUACAGGUCCUGUUUGUCUUAAGGACAGAUCCUGUUGUCCCUGUUACAGGUCCUGUUUGUCUUAAGGACAGAUCCUGUUGUCCCUGUUACAGAUCCUGUUUGUCCCUGUUACAGAUCCUGUUUGUCCCUAUUAUAGGUCCUGUUGUCUCUGUUACAGGUCCUGUUGUCUCUGUUACAGGUCCUGUUAGUCCCUGUUACAGAUCCUGUUGUCCCUGUUACAGGUCAUGUUUGUCUUCAGGACAGAUCCUGUUGUCCCUGUUACAGGUCCUGUUUGUCUUAAGGACAGAUCCUGUUGUCCCUGUUACAGGUCCUGUUUGUCUUAAGGACAGAUCCUGUUGUCCCUGUUACAGAUCCUGUUUGUCCCUGUUACAGAUCCUGUUUGUCCCUAUUAUAGGUCCUGUUGUCUCUGUUACAGGUCCUGUUGUCUCUGUUACAGGUCCUGUUGUCUCUGUUACAGGUCCUGUUUGUCUUAAGGACAGGUCCUGUUGUCCCUGUUACAGGUCCUGUUGUCCCUGUUACAGGUCCUGUUGUCCCUGUUACAGAUCCUGUUGUCCCCGUUACAGGUCCUGUUUGUCCCUGUUACAGGUCCUGUUGUCUCUGUUACAGGUCCUGUUUGUCCCUGUUAUAGGUCCUGUUGUCUCUGUUACAAGUCAUGUUUGUCUUAAGGACAGGUCCUGUUUGUCCCUGUUACAGGUCCUGUUUGUCUUAAGGACAGGUCCUUUUGUCCCUGUUACAGGUCCUGUUUGUCUUAAGGACAGAUCCUGUUUGUCCCGGUUGUCCCUGUUACAGGUCCUGUUUGUCCCUGUUACAGGUCCUGUUGUCUCUGUUACAGGUCCUGUUGUCUCUGUUACAGGUCCUGUUUGUCUUAAGGACAGGUCCUGUUGUCCCUGUUACAGGUCCUGUUGUCCCUGUUACAGGUCCUGUUUGUCCCUGUUACAGGUCCUGUUUGUCUUAAGGACAGAUCCUGUUGUCCCUGUUACAGGUCCUGUUUGUCCCUGUUACAGGUCCUGUUUGUCUUAAGGACAGGCCCUGUUUGUCCCUGUUACAGGUCCUGUUUGUCUUAAGGACAGAUCCUGUUGUCCCUGUUACAGAUCCUGUUUGUCCCUGUUACAGAUCCUGUUUGUCCCUAUUAUAGGUCCUGUUGUCUCUGUUACAGGUCCUGUUGUCUCUGUUACAGGUCCUGUUGUCUCUGUUACAGGUCCUGUUUGUCUUAAGGACAGGUCCUGUUGUCCCUGUUACAGGUCCUGUUGUCCCUGUUACAGGUCCUGUUGUCCCUGUUACAGAUCCUGUUGUCCCCGUUACAGGUCCUGUUUGUCCCUGUUACAGGUCCUGUUGUCUCUGUUACAGGUCCUGUUUGUCCCUGUUAUAGGUCCUGUUGUCUCUGUUACAAGUCCUGUUUGUCUUAAGGACAGGUCCUGUUUGUCCCUGUUACAGGUCCUGUUUGUCUUAAGGACAGGUCCUUUUGUCCCUGUUACAGGUCCUGUUUGUCUUAAGGACAGAUCCUGUUUGUCCCGGUUGUCCCUGUUACAGGUCCUGUUUGUCCCUGUUACAGGUCCUGUUGUCUCUGUUACAGGUCCUGUUUGUCUUAAGGACAGGUCCUGUUGUCCCUGUUACAGGUCCUGUUGUCCCUGUUACAGGUCCUGUUUGUCCCUGUUACAGGUCCUGUUUGUCUUAAGGACAGAUCCUGUUGUCCCUGUUACAGGUCCUGUUUGUCCCUGUUACAGGUCCUGUUUGUCUUAAGGACAGGUCCUGUUGUCCCUGUUACAGGUCCUGUUUGUCUUAAGGACAGAUCCUGUUGUCCCUGUUACAGGUCCUGUUGUCCCUGCUACAGGUCCUGUUUGUCUUAAGGACAGAUCCUGUUUGUCCCUGUUACAGGUCCUGUUGUCCCUGUUACAGGUCCUGUUUGUCCCUGCUAAAUUCACAACCUGGAACCCAUUUCCACCAUGGCCACCUAAUCAUCCCCCUCAUUCCUAAUCGGCAGCCAUUUUGUGCCAGAACGCUCACCACACAAUCAGCUAGCACGGUGGAGAGGUGAAAUGAUGUGAUGAUGCGUUCUGGCACAAAAUGGCUGCCGGUGCAUCACCCACACAUUGGUGGUGGAUGAGGUGAGUUUCACCCUUUACUAUGUAAAACGCUUUGAAUCCCUCAGUUGGUAGAGAGAAGGCGCGAUAUAAAUCCAAUCCAUUAUUAUUAUUAUUAGUACGUUGUUCAUAUGCGACCAUUUUUACGAGCUGCUAGGUCGUAGCUCCGGACUGAUAUCUAGGAAUAUGACAUAACACCGUUUAACAUCUCAUAAGCAUGACAUAGGACUAGGGUUGCAAAAUUACGGUAACUUCCCCCAAAUGUCCUGUUUUUUUCCCCUCCCAGAAAUCCUGUUUAGAAGAUUCCUGGAAUUACGAGGAAAUAACCAGGAAAUCUGGGAAUCCUCUAACCAAGAUUUCUGGGAAAACAACAGGGAAUUUUGGAAUAGUUAUUGUAAUUUUGUAACCCUACAUAGCACCUUUAUAACCAUGUUAUAGAAGAGUCAUAAGACCAUAAUCACAGGGUUAUAAUGCCUAUACGAUGCGGUUACGA